AAAAUUAGCUUGGCAUGGUGGCGCACGCCUGUAGUCCCAGCUGCUCUCGAGGCUGAGGCAGUAGAAUUGCUUGAACCCAGGAGGUGUAGGUUAUAGUGAGCCCAGACUGUGCCACUGCACUCCAGCCUGGGUGACAGAGACUCCAUCUCAAAAAAAAAAA